AUGCGCAAUUUGAGUGCUUUCUGCAACUCCAUUUUGUCGAUAUUUGCUGCAAGACAUGAACGCCAAAUCUGUUUAUCUAACAUGUUCUGCAAGUUUUGUCGAGUGCUUUCCUGUGUUUUGUUAUCUAUGGUAUUUUUUAUCAUAUCUAAUAUCCAGCAUUAUACCAUGUCUCACAGUAUUGCUGAUUCUGCACAUACACAUACUUAUUUUACUUCUCUGACAUGCGGUGCAAAUUUUCUCUGGGUAUGCUUGUUCGUCCCCGCCAAAACCGGGCAAGGAACUGAGAGCUUGCACAUGCCAAUUUCUUAUAUUGUUUUCUCAUGA
rnacentral:rRNA from 1 species